AUGGCCUUCGGAAGCAUGGUGUGGUGCUGGUUAAAAAAACAAAACCAAACAAAGUGUGCUCGAUGGAAAUGGUCUUGGACCCUUGGAGUCUACCAUGGGGUUUGGCAAACAAUCCCAGAGAAGCUCCAUCAAUGGCUUUGGGAAGAGGAGGGGCCGUCUGUGAAGUCUAGGGUGGCUGAGACCCCUAGUGCACCCAGCACAGUAAGCUGGACGGUGCAUCUGAGUUCUGAUACAAUUCUCUGGAAUGUGUCUGGGACAAACCUUUGAAGCUCAAGUCUUGGAGUCAGGAUAAUCAGUUACAGGACCUGGCUUUCCCCAGGGCAAUCCUGAAUUCAAGAACAGUCUCGGCCCAUACCCUUGAUUUUAGCUUUGGAAGAUAUACGGUCACCAGAAUUGAAUGUGGGAUCUUUGGACAGCAAAGAUGUGGGUGACCUGCAGAGCAUUUCUUACAGGCUGCAGUGUGACCAACCCAUCAAUCUUCAAACCCUUCAGCACUGAGUCUUUGAAUGACUUUGUAAAAGGGUUAAGAAAAUUAAAAAGAAGAGAAAGUGACAGCUGUUGGAAAAAAAAAAAUCAGGUAGCCUUGUAAACACAGCCGAAACCAAGAGCUGAGCAUCAAGGGGAUGCUAUUGCUCAGGUCAUGCUUCCCUGCUGGGUGGUCCUUCGCUCGCUGAACUCAAGGAGUGAGUCCCUUGGGGUGCUCUGACCCUGCAGCCACCUUAGUCCUGCUUCUGGCAAGAAAAGCGGCCUGAUCUUCUGGGGACAGUGGGCUGGGGGGCAGGAGACUUGAAUGGAGACCCUGCUUCUGCCACACUUCACUUGGACCCCAGAAAGCCACCAGCCUUGUCCGUAUGUCCCAACCAACAGGCUGGGGGCCACUGGUGGUCUGCUGUCUGUCCCUGCCUCUAAGUUGCCUCCCACCCUGCCACCCCGGUCUAAGCUGUGACCAAGAGCGUGGGGAGAUCUGGGGACCCCAGUGCUGCUGCUGAAGUGUGCACCUGGAGGCCACACCCUGGCGAAUCCUGCACCUGCCUGGAUGCCUAGCCUCAGAGUAAAGGGGUAGCCCUGCACCUCAAGUGCAGUGCAUGGGCUGCAGCAGGGUGCAAGGCAGACACCUGCAGGAUCACAUUCCCAUCAAGGGCACCACUACCCAUGCCCACACAGCACCCCAUGGCCUACUGUGGAAGGGGCUCAUCUUUCUUCAUGGCUAUAGUACAGGGUAGGCGUUUGGGGUGCUGACAACCCUAAUAUGGCUGAUGCUGAGGGCUUCCUUGUUUGGGACAAGGGCCAAACACCAGCCCCCAGGUUGAGCCCAAGGUCACUUGUAGGCCUUCUUGGAGGGGAACCUCGGGCAACCUUCAUUUUGAGAUCUCUGCCCCCUUGGCCUACAAGAGUCAGCACACAAAGGUUGGAGUUUUCACUACUGUUUUCUAGGAGUUGUCACACUGAAGCCAGCAAGCAUGGCCAUAAACCAGAAAAAUGAAAGACCCUGAAACAGACCUGGGCCGGGAAGACAUUCUACUUCUUAGAAAAAAAAUGCAGGCUGUUCAGCAGGGUCCUCCACCCACCCCUACCACGGUGCAACCACUUCCCACGGGGGUCUGAGGGAAGGAGGCCCCGCACUCCCUCCUUCCACACGUGAUGAUGAGAUGCUAGCAAAAGCCCAAUUGAACCUAGCCUGAGAUGCAUGGAUUUUCCCCACCCUUCAAGUGNNNNNNNNNNNNNNNNNNNNNNNNNNNNNNNNNNNNNNNNNNNNNNNNNNNNNNNNNNNNNNNNNNNNNNNNNNNNNNNNNNNNNNNNNNNNNNNNNNNAUGCAUGGAUUUUCCCCACCCUUCAAGUGAGAUGAAUUUUAGCCUCAGAUGAGCCAGUAUGGCCUGCUGGCUGGAGCUCCAGGCCAAGUGCUCCAAGUGCCAGCCAGUUCUCUCCAGAUGCCCGAAGGCAGAGAAGCAGCAGCCCGUGUCCUGAGCCAGGCCCACUUUGGAAGGUCCGCACCCUGCCAUUAGACCAAAACUGCUUUGGGAACGAGGACACACUCAUCUGCCAAAAAUAGCCCGUGCCUGCAUAUUUCUGUUUUAAGGCAAUGUUACCCUUCCAUCUAGCAGACGGAACAGCCCUGGGUCACUUAGAGGAAAAAUUAAAUUAAGUGCUCUCUUUGGGAACAGCAAACGCCCACUUUCCCUCCCUCCCCCACCCCCCUCCCCCCUCCAAAACAAACCAGCUCUUCUUUUAUUCCAAGAUGACUGGGUUUAGAGUCCUUUCCCCUCUUCCUAUGUGCAGAGAGACGUGGGCUCUGAAACCCUCUUUCCUCGGCAAUGCCACAGCCAGGUCGCGAGAAGACACCAGGCUCCCGCAGGGCACGUGGCCCCCCUCCCUGACUUUGGGGACCGCGUGGGCAGUGAGCGCACCAAAGAACUUUGGAAUAAAAUUCCUGAACCU
ensembl:lncRNA